rnacentral:lncRNA from 1 species
UUAGCUCAAAGAUUAUGAUAACCGGCAAGAAUUCACAUACUCAAAUAUCGGUCUCCCACACACAAAAAAAAAACUUCCCAACACCAUUGCUAAAAAUGAAUCUAUUAAUCAACAUAAGCAAAGAUAGAAGAAAUAAAAUGGUACAUGAAAAGAUUGAUCCAAUUCCUUCUCAAAAUAAAAGUCAUUUCAAGCAUAUUACUAGAAACCAGCAAGAGGUACAUCUUCAACCAAGUAUCCACUCCCAAACAAAAUCUCUCACUACACAAACCUUGAACUUCUCUCAAUCUCUGAACACUACAGAUUUCUUUCACCUUUUUAGGGGAUAGAUAACACGACCCAACAUUUGGGAGGACAAAGGCCCUAAUGCAGGGAACCCUUCAUUUAC